GACGAACGCUGGCGGCGUGCCUAACACAUGCAAGUCGAGCGAACGGACGAGAAGUUUGCUUGUCGGAUGUUUGCGGAGGGGGGGAGAGUCACAUGUGGAUAACCUACCUAUCAGACGGGGAUAAUCACGGGAAACCGGAGCUUAUACCGGAGAAUAUUUUGCACCGUAGUGUUCAAAAGUGAAAGACGGUCGUGGGGGAUCUAAUAGAUGGAUCUGCGCUGCAUGAGCUAGUUGGUAAGGUAACGGCUUACCAAGGCAACGAUGCAUAGCCGACCGGAGAGGGUGGUCGGCCACCCUGGAGGUGAGACACGGUCCAGACUCCUACGGGAGGCAGCAGUAGGGAAUCUUACGCAAUAGGGGAGAGCCUGACGGAGCAACGCCGCGUGAGGUAUGAAGGUCUUCGGAUCGUAAAACCCUGUUAUUAGGGAAGAACAUAUGUGUCAGUAACUGUGCACAUCUUGACGGUACCUGAUCAGAAAGCCACGGCUAACUACGUG
rnacentral:rRNA from 1 species